UGUGUUGUGGCUCAGUGGUAGAGCACUAGCAUGUGUGAAGCACUGGGUUCAAUUCUCAGCACCACAU
rnacentral:tRNA from 1 species